AGUUAAAUAAGGGUGAGUCCUGGGCGCAUUUGGUGGUGCUCCCUUCUCAUCCUACUGCUUCUAUUAUGGAUAGUAAUUUGCACAAGCUCUCUUCUUUCCCUCCACAGCUGUUAGCUGUAGUCCAGAGGAUUGGUGAAAAGAAACUUCUUCGUAAGUAUAAAAUCAAUGGUAUUGUGCUGGUAGGCUUGAUUGACACGGGCGCAGGCAUUUCUGUAGUUUCCAGUAGUUGCUGGGACCCCACGUGGCCCCUUGAGUCUGCCUCUGCAGUUUGGGGUGUGGGUGGACCCCAAACCUCUUCCAAAAGCGUACAGUGACUGCCUGUUUCUCUGCCUGAUAGCUCUGAAACCAUUGCAUACAUCCAGCCCUGUGUGCUGAAAAUCCACCUCAAUCUGUGGGGCAGAGACUUACUACAACAAUUACAAGCUACCAUUCAGUUUGAUGAGUAAGCUUGCACUUCCCCUCAGCUGGAAAUCUACCAGCCCUGUAUGGGUGGAACAAUGGCCCAUAACGGGGGAAAAGCAACUUGCUUUAAAACAAUUAGUGAAUGAACAAUUAUCGGCAGACCAUAUAGAACCUUCAGUUAGCCCCUAUAAUACCCCCAUCUUCGUCAUAAAAAAGAAGAGUGGCAAAUGGAGAUUUCUCCAGGAUUUAAGGAAAAUAAACCAGAUCCUUGAACCCAUGGGGCCCUUGCAGUGUGGUCUGCCUAAUCCAAAUGUGAUUCCACAUUCUUAUCAAUUGGCUAUAAUAGAUUUGCAAGAUUGUUUCUUCUCCAUUCCCCUACAGGAGAAGGAUCGUAAAUUCUUUGCUUUUACUGUUCCUGUGUUAAAUAACAAUCAGCCCACGGAACGGUACCAAUGGAAAGUCCUACCACAAGGAAUGUUGAAUUCCCCUACCAUGUGCCAAUAUUAUGUGAAUCAAGCCCUUCAGCCCUUUCAUUUGCAGUAUCCACACCUCCCAAUUUAUCAUUAUAUGGAUGACGUGCUUGUCAGUGGGCCACACCUUCCCCCUCAAUGGAAGCAUGUUAUGACAGCCUGUUUGUCACUUUAUGGUCUAAAAAUUGCCCCAGAAAAGGUUCAGGAAUCCUCUCCCUUCCAUUAUUUGGGACACAAAAUGAUAGCUAGCUAUUCUAUUCCUAUAGUCCCUGAACUUCAUGUUCCAAAAACAAUGAAAUAUGUCCAGCUGCAGCAAUUGCUGGGCAAUAUCAACUGGAUAAGACCCUAUUUUAAAAUCCCCCUUGAAGUUUUACGGCCGCUUUUUUCAGCCUUAAAAGGCCAUCAAUCUCCUGGUGAUAAAAUCACCAUGACCUCCUCUCAACAGAAGACUGUUGCCCAGUUAAAGGAAAUCAUGCGUCUCCACUGGGUUGAUCAAGCAAUUCUUAAUGUUUUGCCCGAUGUAGUCAUAAUGACAGAUUCUGUCCAACCUUUUGCGGCCAUUAUUCAGUUAGGCCCAUCAAAAGUUCAUAUAAUUGAAUGGCUGUAUUUACAUCAUACGCCAAAGAACACGGAGACUCCUUUAGUGGAUCUCCUUGCUCAGCUCAUCAGCAAGGGAUGCCGUCGCUGCAAAAGCCUCUUUGGCAUUGAUUGCCGCCAAAUUAUUGUGCCCAUGCCCUUAGAACAAUGGGAAACUGCUCUCUCCACUAGCAUGGAUUUGCAGUGCGCUUUAGCCAAUUUUGUUGGCCAAGUGGAUUGCCAUAUCCCAGCCGACCCUCGCCUGCAAAUGAGCAAACAAAUUUCCCUGUCUUUAUCUUCCAUAUUAUCUCCUGUCCCUUUGGAUGCCUCUACUGUCUUUACUGACGGAUCCCCCUCCAGGGGGGUGGUUGCCUGGCAACAAAAUGAGGAAUGGCACAGCCUCUACACUCUUCCACAAAAGUCUGCCCAUCGUUCUGAGCUAGCAGCUGCUGUCAAAGCUCUGCACCACUUCUCCUCACAGCCCUUUAAUUUGGUAGUGGACCGUCUUUAUGUUACAAAUGUCAUAACUCGUCUACAAGGCAGUUAUGUAAGUCCUUUAUUGGAUGACAACUUAUUGAGCCUUUUCCUAUCCUUACAAUUGCUUCUUUCUAAUCGCUCCCACCCUCUAUUUGUGGUGCACAUUCACUCUCACCAACCCUUCCCAGGCUUUAUCACUGAUGGCAAUGCAAAAGCAGUUUCCUUGCUUAGGGCUUUGCCUAUUUCCCCUAUUGAAAGUCAUGCUUUUCAUCAUCAAAAUGCAAAAGCCCUUAGCCGCCAGUUCCAAAUCCCGUUGGAAGCGGCACGUGCAAUUAUCCAACAAUGCCCUCAAUGCUCUAAUCAGAUUGGCCACCCCAGCCCUGGUGUUAAUCCCCGUGGGCUGGCAGUCAACCAGUUGUGGCAAAUGGAUGUAACUCACUUCGCCCCCUUUUCACCUUGGAAGUUCAUACAUGUUUGCAUUGAUACGUUCUCUGGCUUUAUUUGGGCCACCCCUCAAAGGGGAGAGCAGGUUAAGCAUGUUUGCAAUCAUCUUGUUCGUACCAUGUCAGUCAUGGGCAAGCCUCAUUCCUUGAAAACUGACAAUGCCCCAGCGUACUGUGCAAAAACCUUUGCUCAGUUCUGUGACACUUGGAAUAUUCACCAUUUAUUUGGCAUCCCCUACAAUUCUCAAGGCCAAGCGAUUGUUGAACGUGCCAAUCGCACUUUAAAAACUGCCUUGAUUCGACAAGAAAAGAAGGCCGGAGUCCCAGCCUCACUCUCCGAAAAGGAAGGCUGGUUGGCCAGUGUUCUCUUUACUCUCAAUCAUUUGAAUGUUUCCAUACAGGAUCAUCAAUCUUAUACUCGCCUCCAGAAGCACUUUCAGCAAACAGAGAUACUCCCAGCCCCACUGGUCCGCUAUAAGAUAUUACCCUCCAACGAAUGGAGUGAGCCUGUAAAACUGAUCACCUGGGGAAAGGGUUACGCUGCAGUUUCUACUCCACAGGGUGCUCGCUGGGUUCCCGCACGCUGCAUCCGCCUAUACCACGGCGUGUCGUGGUUUCAUUCCAACACUCUCCCCUCUCAUCAUUUACAUUUACUAGGACAUUCCUAGCCCACUUUCCACCCAGGAGCUCAAAGUGGUCUUCAUGGUUCUCCCUACCACCAAUUAUCUUCACAGCAGCCCUGCAAAGCAGGCUAGGCUGGCCCAAGGUCCACCAGGGAGAUUCAUGGCUGAGUGGGCAUUCGAACCCUGCUCCCCCAGGUCCUCCUAGUCCAGCCCUCCAACCACUACACUUCUGCCUGGCUCCAUUUUGCAUCUCUCCAGCUGCCCUAUGACAUCGGCCUUCUCCCCUUUCCUGGGUGUGUCUCUGGCUCCAAGGAAGACUCCACCACCUUCCUCAUGUUCUUCUCCUCUUCUGGGACACCUUGAUGCUUGGAGGACCCUCCGAGGGGGCUCCUCCCUCUCCAGGAAGGACAGGGCUGUGCUAAGAAGAUGAGGCAGAGCAGCCCUUUAACAGCUGGCAAUGCUUCUCUUUCCUUUGGGCUGGAGCUCAAGUGACUGUGGAGGCCAAUUCUGGAUCCACACAUCCUUCCACAGUGGGGACAUUGGUUUCUGGGCAGGAGUUGAUCACAGUGUGGAUUUGCCAAGGAUGCCUUCCUCUUAGCACGUUUCUCCCUGCGUCCUGAGUUUGAGUGUCUUCAAAGCCCAUGACACCUUUGGUAAAGGCUAUUCUACAACUGGAGCGCUCGCAGUCCAGUGUUUCCCAGUUGUCAGUGUUUAUACUACAUUUUUUUAGAUUUGCCUUGAGACUGUCUUUAAACCUCUUUUGUUGACCACCAGCAUUACACUUCCCAUUUUUAAGUUUGGAAUAGAGUAGUUGCUUUGGAAGACGAUCAUCAGGCAUCCACACAACAUGACCAGUCCAAAGAAGUUGAUGUUGAAGAAUCAUUGCUUCAACACUGGCGAUCUUUGCUUCUUCCAGAACAGUGAUAUUGGUUCGCCUGUCUUCCCAAGUGAUGUGUAAAAAUUUUCGGAGAUACCGUUGAAGGAAUCUUUCAAGGAGUUGGAGAUGGCGUUUAUAAGUGGUCCAUGUUUCACAAGUAUAUAGUAAGGUCCUGGUCCUCAAACACUCUGCACUGCAAUCGGGAGAAAGCCGCACUUGCAGAGCUCAGGUGAUGCUGGAUUUCGGCAUCAGUUUUGGCCCUUGUGGAAAGAUAACUGCCUAUGUAAGAGAAGUGAUUGACAUUUUCCAACUAGGCUAGUGCCAUCAUGGUGACAAGUCUCUGGGACCUCAGAUGCUGGAAAAUUCAGACCAAUGAUCUGUUUUUCCACAUUUUGUUCUACAGUGGUACCUCUGUUUAAGAACAGUCCUGUUUACGAACGAUUCGGUUUACGAACUUCGCAAAACUGGAAGUAGUGUCCCGGUAUGCAAGCUUUACCUCGGUCUAAGAACGGAAUCCGAACAGUGGAAGGGCACCGGUGGCAGGAGGCCUCAUUAGGGAAAAUGCACCUUGAUUUAAGAACGGUUUCAGUUUAAGAACAGACUUCCAGAAUGGAUUAAGUUCGUAAACCGAGGUACCACUAUGCUUGCCUGUAUACUCGUUUCUCAGGCCUCUCAACAUGGGAGAAAGCAGGCAGCAGGAAUCAGACUUCCUAGUCUCUUGGAGAGCUGUUUAUCACUGAGAAAGUAGAAGAAAAUAAAGUUAAUAUGGCUCAAAAACUAUUUGAAUAACAAUAUCAGGUCAUCUAGUUUUUCUGAUUUUAAUAAAGUCAUUGGUGUAGAUAACCCAGUGAUGAGCAUCUUACCUCUUAAUGCUGGACAUGGAUGCAAUAUUCACUUACUCAUACCUGG
rnacentral:lncRNA from 1 species